UACGUAGGGCGCAAGCGUUGUCCGGAAUUAUUGGGCGUAAAGAGCUCGUAGGUGGUUUGUCGCGUUGUUCGUGAAAACUCACAGCUCAACUGUGGGCGUGCGGGCGAUACGGGCAGACUUGAGUACUGCAGGGGAGACUGGAAUUCCUGGUGUAGCGGUGGAAUGCGCAGAUAUCAGGAGGAACACCAAUAGCGAAGGCAGCUCGCUGGAACGGUACUGGCGCUGAGGCGCGAAAGCGUGGGGAGCGAACAGG
rnacentral:rRNA from 1 species